rnacentral:rRNA from 1 species
AACGAACGCUGGCGGCGUGCCUAACACAUGCAAGUCGAACGAGAAAGGGGCUUCGGCUCCGAGUAAAGUGGCGCACGGGUGAGUAACACGUGGGUAACCUGCCUCUAAGAUUGGGAUAACUCGUCGAAAGAUGAGCUAAUACCGGAUAAGACCACAGUUCCCGCGGGAACAGGGGUCAAAGGUAGCCUCUGCUUGCAAGCUAUCACUUAGAGAUGGGCCUGCGCACCAUUAGUGAGUUGGUAGGGUAACGGCCUACCAAGGCAAAGAUGGUUAGCUGGUCUGAGAGGAUGAUCAGCCACACUGGAACUGAGACACGGUCCAGACUCCUACGGGAGGCAGCAGUGGGGAAUAUUGCGCAAUGGGCGAAAGCUUGACGCAGCAACGCCGCGUGAGUGAUGAAGGCCUUCGGGUCGUAAAGCUCUGUCGGAGGAACGAAUGCUCCCAAGGUUAACAGCCUCGGGAGGUGACGGUACCUUCAAAGGAAGCACCGGCUAACUCUGUGCCAGCAGCCGCCGUAACAC